CAGUAGCCGCGGUAAAACGGAGGGUGCAAGCGUUAAUCGGAAUUACUGGGCGUAAAGCGUGCGUAGGCGGUUCGUUAAGUCUGUUGUGAAAGCCCCGGGCUCAACCUGGGAAUGGCAAUGGAUACUGGCGAGCUAGAGUGUGUCAGAGGAUGGUGGAAUUCCCGGUGUAGCGGUGAAAUGCGUAGAGAUCGGGAGGAACAUCAGUGGCGAAGGCGGCCAUCUGGGACAACACUGACGCUGAGGCACGAAAGCGUGGGGAGCAAACAGGAUUAGAUACCCCUGUAGUCCCUGUCUCUUAUAC
rnacentral:rRNA from 1 species